UACAGAGGUGGCAAGCGUUGUUCGGAAUUACUGGGCGUAAAGGGCGAGUAGGUGGCCAUCUAAGUCAGACGUGAAAUCCCCCGGCUUAACCUGGGAACUGCGUCUGAUACUGGGCGGCUUGAGUAUGGGAGAGGAACGUAGAAUUCCAGGUGUAGCGGUGAAAUGCGUAGAUAUCUGGAGGAAUACCGGUGGCGAAGGCGGCGUUCUGGACCAUUACUGACACUGAAUCGCGAAAGCUAGGGGAGCAAACGGG
rnacentral:rRNA from 1 species